UCCUAUACAUUCCUAUGAUAAAGUUUAAUUUAUAAAUUAGGCACAGUAAGAGGUUAACAGUAAUUAAUAAUAGAACACAUCUAAUAGUAUACUGGGUGGGGCAAAAAGAGGUUUGCAUAUAGAAAACAACACGAUAAUAAAUGAUAAUCCAAGAGUAAACUGUGUUUCCCCAUACUCGCAACUGUAAACCUACUUUUGCCCCACCCCGCGCUGUCAUGAACGUGCCUGGCUUUGGGGUCAUUGAUAAAGUGAAAGGAGGGUUAAUGAGCACCGACUGGGAUACAGUCGAUCUGAUAACCAAGUCCUACUAAGUGACUAACGCGUAGAGAAACUGGACAAAGGGAUCAUUGAUGCCGGGGGCGGGAUGGAGCUGGUCCGCGUGGGAUUUCAUCAUGCCGCUCGGAAUCGUGCCCAGUUUAAAACGAAGGAAUUGUUUAUUUCUGGAAUUUUCCAUUACACAUCUUCCACCCCGGGGUUUACCAUGGAAAGUGAAACUGCGAAUAAGCAGGGGGUGGCUACUGUAACGUUUCUUUAGGUGACAGACACCAUCUGUUAAAAUAACUGGUGUGCCUUUUGUCGCCGGAAGAUACCGUGACUGACGCCACUGUGGGCAACUCGGGGCAGAUUCUCCGAGGUGGGGUUCGGGGGGUGGUUUAGUUCGUUUUCAGGGUUUACACACAGUGGUGCGCUCCUUGCCAACAAGGAAUGGGGUGCUGGUGACCCACCGUGUGCAGCGGCACCCUGGUGAUGUGUCACCAUCCCUGCCGACGGGGAUGCAGUUCCAGCUGGAGUGAUAGGGAUCCAGUGGCUGCGGCCAUGGACCACGAUGGCAGUACGAUGGCCGCAAGGACAGUGGUGUUCAGUGGCUUCCUCUGCGACACUGGCAGGAGGUGGGUGAGCUGGCAUGAGAAGCGGAGCCCCCGGCCAGCAGCCAUGAGAGCGAGCCUUCCCGCCCCAGUCACGCCUUCAGAUGACUGCAGCCCCAGCUCCCAUCCUGCAAACUCGUGAGGACCCUGAGCCAGAGCCAUCCAGCGAAGCUACUCCCAGAUUCCUGGCCUUCAGAAAUGGUGAGAUCAUACACAGCUAUUGCUUUGAGCAGCUAAGUUUUGGGGAUAAUUCUUUGCACAGCAAUAGGCAAUGACCUAGGAAAAAUCACCCUGAAAAAGGUAGGUUGACUGACGCACAGACUGCAUCCUAGAACCUUUUUUACCCCCUACCUUCUUUCCAAAGACCUGGCCCAUCAUCAGCAUCUCUCUGGGAUGGAGACGCCUGUGAGCUGAGGACCGCAUGGUGUGCCUCCAAAUUACUGACCAUCUUUCGGUGCCAAAAAGGAGACAGAGUUCAUGCCAGCAUGAGGGGCCAUUUAUUGUUCUGGGUUAGGGCCCCCACGUUUGGGGGGAGUCCCCCCACUACUUCCUCCUCCCAUUGUCCCCGUGGACCCCUCAAGUGGCAGGUUGCUGAGCUGAUCAUGGAGGGAGCACAUCUUCAAGUGUAGAUAGUCCAGGGAGGCCACCUUCUCCCUGCAAUGACAGGCAGUGGGCGGUCGGUGCUGGUGGGCCUGGGUGCCAGGGGGCUGGUGGAGGGGGAGACUCAGGCCCGACCCCCAAGACCUCACCCUCCUCCCAUGCCCUCAGCCUCCUUCCUCACUCCGGCUUCAUCUUGUCCGUCAGCAGCAGGUUCUUGGCCCGCAAAGCUUCGUCCUGGGCCAGGCGAAGGGUGGAGCUCAGGGCCUCUGCCCUGACGUGCUUGGCCAAGGCCUGGCGCUCCAGCUCCUGGGGAGAGGAGUGUAGGCGCCGCUGGGCUUGCCUGACUGGGCUGGGGGUGGAGGGAGCUGGGUCGCGGAGGGCCAGGGGCAGGGGCCCGUGGGGCCCACAUUCCUCCCUCAAGGUACCCUAUCAUGCCUCCAGGGGACCCCAGCGUCCCGCAAUGCCCUGGCCUUCCAGACUCCCCUGUGUGCUGAACCUGGGCCUGCCCCUCCGCCUGUCCCCGGUGCACUGGCCUUCUGUGUCCCAGCAAACGCUAAACCGGCAUCCGUCUUAUUUUCCCCAAAUGCCCACGGAGCAUGAUGCCUUGGAUAUGUGUUUGGCCCCCAGAAUCCCUCACGUGGUGGCCUUCUGCAUCUCCUAAGGCCUCCCGGCUCCUUAGCUACCGACCAGCAUCUCUGUCACAAUAGUGGUCCUCCGUGCUCUGGUCCCCUGUGUCCCAGCAUGCACCGGGCCCCUUGGCCCAGAGCUCUGCCACACCAAUGUCCCUCCCUGCCUCGCUCGCCUGUCUCACCCGCUACCACUUCUAUCGUCAGGCCAGAGCCCGUAAGACAUCAGCUCCCUGCGUACACUCCAGCAGGACGGAAAGUUCCAUUGGCUGUUGGGCUUGAAGUCGGUGGUGCGACGGCCCAGGCAGAGCUGUGGCCCCACUUCCCAAAAUGCACUAGUUUACUGCGACGUGCGUUCCCUGUCCGACCUCAGUGACCCCGUGUAAUAUGUGGCCUCUCUUACAACCUAUAGAAAACCAGGUUUGCAUCCUACGAAGCUGUAGAUGUGUCUGUCUCCUGCGUCCCACAGUGCCCCAUACCCAGUGUCCCAUCAUGCUCUGGGCAAUGUCCGCCACCAAGGUUCCCUAACAACUGACCAACGGAGCCCUAGCCGGUUUGGCUCAGUGGAUAGAGUGUCUGCCUGCGGACUGAAGAGUCACGGGUUCGAUUCCGGCCAAGGGCACAUGCCUGGGUUGCGGGCUCGAUCCCUCAUAGGGGGUGUGCAGGAGGCAGACUAUCAAUGAUUCUCUCUCAUCAAUGGUGUUUCUCUCUCUCCCUCUCCCUUCCUCUCUGAAAUCAAUAAAAAAAUAUUUAAAAAAAAUAA